rnacentral:rRNA from 1 species
GUGCCAGCAGCCGCGGUAAUACGAAGGGGGCUAGCGUUGCUCGGAAUUACUGGGCGUAAAGGGCGCGUAGGCGGCGCUGUUAGUCAGGCGUGAAAGCCCUGGGCUCAACCUGGGGACUGCGCUUGAUACGGCAGUGCUAGAGGAUGGAAGAGGGUCGCGGAAUUCCCAGUGUAGAGGUGAAAUUCGUAGAUAUUGGGAAGAACACCGGUGGCGAAGGCGGCGACCUGGUCCAUUACUGACGCUGAGGCGCGACAGCGUGGGGAGCAAACAGGAUUAGAUACCCUGGUAGUCC